rnacentral:rRNA from 1 species
AUUGAACGUUGGCGGCAGGCCUAACACAUGCAAGUCGAACGGUAACAGGAAGACGCUUGCUUCUUUGCUGACGAGUGGCGGACGGGUGAGUAAUGUCUGGGAAACUGCCUGAUGGAGGGGGAUAACUACUGGAAACGGUAGCUACUACCGCAUAACGUCGCAAGACCAACGAGUGGGACCUUCGUGCCUCUUGCCAUCGGAUGUGCCCAGAUGGGAUUAGCUAGUAGGUGGGGUAACGGCUCACCUAGGCGACGAUCCCUAGCUGGUCUGAGAGGAUGACCAGCCACACUGGAACUGAGACACGGUCCAGACUCCUACGGGAGGCAGCAGUGGGGAAUAUUGCACAAUGGGCGCAAGCCUGAUGCAGCCAUGCCGCGUGUAUGAAGAAGGCCUUCGGGUUGUAAAGUACUUUCAGCGGGGAGGAAGGGAGUAAAGUUAAUACCUUUGCUAAUUGACGUUACCCGCAGAAGAAGCACCGGCUAACUCCGUG